GUCUAUAUUUAAGAUAGAUCUGACUCAAUGAAAUGCUUUAAUCUUUUUAGUUUUGAUUUAUGUGGUUUUAGGUUAAAUGAGUUCAAAAUAAUUUUUAAGUGUAUUUCUUUUAUAUGGGCAGAGAUAUUUGUCUAGUACUGUUUACCCAGUAUAUAUUAAACGGAAUGGCAAGUUCAAAGGUAUUUUUUGGAAUAGUUUGUAAGGCUUCUUCCUAGUGUAUUAUGUUCAAAAUGUUUUAAAUCGUUGUCAAAAAUCCAAAUGCCUUGUUAUAAAGUCUAAGAUUCAUCCCCUAGUCUACUGCUGAAUGUAUGCGAAACCUAAUCAGGAAUAUACAAAACUUGCUAGCGCAAUUCAUUUAUUAAGUUAUAAAAUAAUAUUAAACUUAAUUUUUAUCGGGAUCAACAUGAUUUGUUUACUAUAUUAAUAUUUACGCAAAGUCUAGAAUAUAAAGAAGUUGGACUAUAUUAAUUUUUACGGGGAUCCCAAAUGCUUGAACUGUGCAAUUCAAAGAUUUGGACUAUAGAGAAGUUGUGUCCUUAUGAAAACCCCUACUAUCUUUGAAUUUGGACCACGAAAUUUUAUUCAAAUUCAAAAAUGAAUGGUACAUAUUCAUUUUGGUUAUGUGAUCCUACACACUAAAAUAAAUUUAAAUUAUUCAUUUCUUAGUUCUAAUUGGAGGACUCAUAGCACACUAUGCACUAGGUGUAUAAUUAAUUGACAUUGAUUAUUAAUUUUGUUCCAUUUAAACUAAAUCUUAUAAUUUGUGAGUAACUUCAGACAUUAAUUGAAAGGGACAAUUUACCUACACCCCUGAGGUUUCCAUAAUGGCACUGACCUCCCAGUGAUUUUGAAAAUGGCACGGGACCUCCCCUAUAGUUUUGAACAAUGCAAUUGCCUCCCCUAUGCAUUUGAAAAUGGCACUGACCCUCCCCUAUAGUUUGAAAAAUGGCAACUGACCUCCCCGUCAGAGCGAAAAGGCCAUUUACCCCUGACACCCCACGCCACCCCACCCCACCCCGCGAUUUUUUUAGAUUUUUUAGUUUUUCUUUUAAUCAUUUUAUUUAUUUUUUAACUAAUUUAUUUAUUUUGAUACUUUUUUUUGGAUAAAUAAUUUUUUUGUAUAAAGUUUGUGUUUUUUUUUAGUGUUUUUUUUAUAAUUGAAUUUUAUAAUAAACAAAUAAAUAAAAAUAAAACUUUAGUAAGUUUGCAUUCUAAGGUAUUGAACUUUUUGAUACCUUAUUGGAUAUUUAUUUUAGAAAAUUAAGGAUCUAAUGCCAAGGUUAGCCAUCACUUGGGCAUUAUCAAAGUGGUGAGGGAAACGAUAAAAAAAAUAAAAAAACUCGAGAAACUAAAAUUUUACCAAAAUUUUAACAAACUAGCCAAAUUGGCUUUUAAUUAAGUGGAUACUUUUGAAGACAUUUUAUAAAUGUAGUACAUACAACUAAAAAUUUUGUAUAAUUUUUAAAGUAUAAUUGAUAAGGUAUUUGUGAACUUAAAAUUUGUGUUUUCUUUUUUAUUUUUCUUUUUAUUUUUAUUAUUUUGUAUCUAAAAAAUUUAAUUGAAAAAAAAACUAAACACACACAAAUAUAAUGAAAAAUGAUUGAUCCAAAAAAAACGGAUCAAAAUUAAUAAAUUAGAAGUUAAAAAAUAAAUAAAAAUGAUUAAAAUAAAAAUGAAAAAAAACUAAAAAAAAUGCGGGGUGGGGUGGGGUGGGGGGUGGGGGUCAGGGGUAUAAUGGUCAUUUUUGCUCUGACAGGGGAGGUCAGUGCCAGUUUUAAAACUACAGUGGAUGUCCUCAGGGAGUGUAGGUAAAGUUAUCCCUUAAUUGAAUAAUCUCUUUUUUUUUUUCUUCUGUAUGAAACACCAGAAGCAUCAUUGUCUAAAUUGUAUCUAUUUAUUUACAAGGGAACAUGUAUUAAUGUUUUAAAUAGAAAUUGUGUCAAAAUAAUUUUUGGAAUGAAUUGGUUUUGAUGUUACCAGACAAUUCAAGUACAAGAUUACUAAAUGAAACUUAGGCUGGGAUUGGGAUUGGGAUUGAGCAAUAAUACCGUGAGCAGGGCAUUGGGCUUGGACGUUCAGAACCUCUUAACCCGCUUGACAUUGGUCUUGUACGGGCCUGUUGGUCAAGAUUCUAACCCGUGUUGAUUUUUUUACUGUCACGAACCUGACCCGUUUAUUCACACUGGUCCCACCAAUAAACAGGUGCCCCGUGACCGGCCAGUGUGAAAAUACCAUCAACUAAGGCUUUUCAAUGACUGCAGUUUAGGGAUUUACUAACCAUUAUUCAAAAUGAAUUGCUUGGAAUGAAAUUCCUGCGAAGCAUCUAAAUAAAACAGAGCUGAAGUGUCAAUAUAUACAACUAUCAUCAUGGUUCGAUACAAAAACCCAACACAGUUCUGGCCACAAACCGGCCACAACCGUUGUCACCAACUACUGUAUCAGUAUACAAGUUUCAAUAUAAUAGUUCAAGCCAUUUAAAAGUCCUAUUACUAUCACACAGUAAAGGUCUAACAAAACUAGCAUGCUAGGGUCACUGCCCUCAAUCGUGUCCUCCCUCAUUCAUCACUGAAAUGAGUUCUUCGACAACGUCUAAGCACUGGCUAGUGUGAGUAAGGUUAAUAAAACAUACAUGCACCCAUGAAAAUAGAGAAAUCAGGUUCAUUUAAAACAAGAAAUGAAACCACUUUUGUCAAUCCAUGCCUCAACUAGGCCAUCCCUGACUAUCAGUCAAGAUACAAUAGAAAAUCAAUCCCUCCCACGGGAUUCAUGGCUCAGGUACGACAUCAUACAUCAAAGUGUACAUUCUAUAUACGAUUGGACAAUUGCGACACACUAACCGUUCAACGAACCACCAGAACAUAGGAGCGACCCUAACCCUUGGGAUGAUCAUCCCACAAUCAUCUGGUAAUGAUCUCCUUAUACAAUCAACCACGCUAUAUUCUUCCCCUAGCGCACGGGGCAUCGUAAUGAAACUAUGUGUCGACUUAAAACAACAUUUCACAAAUGUUUCAUAAUUUCAUGUAUAUUCAAAAAUAAAGCAUGCUUUUUUUAACCAUAAAAACAUUCAGUUUAAACACAAGCCAUGCUUUCACAUAUAAAACAGUUACUUUAUUGCUAUGAAUACAUAACAAGACUCACUGGAAUAUGCCACGAAGAUCUUCCUAUACACCGUGACUAACGUCAAGCUACGUUCCUGAAAUUCGGCCCUAGUAUAAUAUUCGAUACGAACCAUAGAUUGUAUUUUACGUUGGCUAUAAAUAUCCUAAUUUCAUAUUAUCAAAUUAGAUAAUAUAAUUUUGAAUUUUCUAUAGAAUUUCUUGAAUUAAUUUUCAGAAACAAACACUUAGUCUAUGAAUUUAUAAAAUCGUCAAUUCUAUUGAUCCAAGACUUUUCAUAAUAUACUAGACACAGACAUUUAUUACAGUAUAAUUUUAUAAAUUAAUACAUAGCUUUACAUUUUUAGAAAUUCAUUAAACAAUUCUAAUUUUUGCAAAAUAUCGGUACUGACCAUGUUUAGUUAAAAUUAUUUGGGCAUGAAAUAAUAUCCAUUAAUUCGUGAAAUUAAAUAUGUAAUUUACCGGAACAUAUAAAUUUUCUAGCAUAUAAAAAUUUCAGAAUUUUCUAACAAACGAAACUAUUUUUUAUCAAAAAUUCAUAAAGCCUCUGUUCGAACCAAUUUAUUUUCCAGUUUUUCAAAAAGCACUGUAAACGUCAAUUUUGAUUAACUUAGAAGUCUGAAUUUUACAAAACGUUCUAAAUAAAAGUUUUUUUAGAUAAUUUUGAUACCUUUCCAACUCAAACUUCGUAAAUCAAGUAAUUCGGAACCGUAUGAAAAAGUAGAUCGAAAUACGUAGAUGUUCCAGUAAAAAAGUUGAAUUCCGAAUUCGGACUUUUUGAUUUAGAAAAAAAUACGUAUAUAAAUGUAAAUUUGGAGUAUUUAGCGGAUUGGAUUUACAUUAAACUAGAUACGGUGUUCUAUAAUAAGGCUUUAAAUAAAUAAAUAAGAUUAAGUUGAAUUCCCUUGACGAAAAAAAAAAAAAAACACGACCUCAGUCUUUCUUUUCUUUCUUAUAUUUCUCUUAUGUACCUUCCUUUCUAUGUUUGGUUUAUGUUGUUGACUUGGGAAUGAAAAUGGGGAGUGCAGAGAGAUGCAGGAGUAGGCUUUAUAGAAUAGGUUUUGGCUUAUUAGGCUAGUGGAUUACUCUUCAUACAUGUCACACAUGACUAACACCACCCUCACCAAUAGCAUGCAAUAUGCACACACACUCUCAUCAAACAAAUUAUGGUUUGGUUGAGAUGAAAUGAAAGAGGGGCUGGAUCCACACACCAACGGUCCCAUUGGCACACACUCAUGCGUCACCCCCAGUGUCCACCGUGUGUCGUCAACGUGUCGUAUUUAUCGUGUUCCGGUUUCUCACUAAUUUCAUACUUUAUUGCGAAAAAAAUAAAAUAUUGAAUUGAUUACUAAUAUUAAUACCUGUUUUCGCGUACGGGUAUUACAAUUUACAGUCCUGCUACGAAGCUCUGAUCCAAAUUGACUCUUAAAUUCUUUUUUUGAGUGGAGAAAAGCCUAGCCCCUUUUUUGGAAUAUAUAUUGAACACAUCAUGAACACGUAUGUAUAGCGACAGAGUUAGAAUAAAUGUUUAGUGGGUUAAAAGAGUCAAAAUUUAUGUUCAGCGGGGUCAAAAGAACCAAAAUUUCAGUUUAAUGGGAUCAAAAUUAUAGAAUUUAUAAAACUUAGUACAAAUUACUAAUUUUUGUGGAGUUAAAAUUGUAUUUAUGAUAAAUUAUUUUUAAAAAAAUAGUAUAAUUUUUUUUUAAGUAGUGUCAAUUAUCCUUAAGUGGCUCCGCCACUGCGUAUGUACAUAGUUGAGACAUAACCUAAUCACAUUAGGUUCGGUUUGUUUACAUGUUUGAAACAAUAUUUGGGGGACCAUUGCUUUAUUUAAAAGAGAGGUGGGGUCUAAAUAUAAAAAGUAAAGAUUUUUUACCGAAACCA
rnacentral:lncRNA from 1 species